AAUCCGUCGACUUUCAAAAUCGUGAGGGUUCAAGUCCCUCUAUCCCCA
rnacentral:tRNA from 3 species